rnacentral:lncRNA from 1 species
GCGAAAGCGACUGCGAGUGAGCCGGAUUAGCCGGAAUGCCUGAAUAGCCAUGCCUGGUCCUCAAUUAAAUGCUACGCAAAAUGCUGAUUUGAAUCGUCUUUGAUCGAAUAUUAGAGAGCUAUGUGUGCGGAGUGGCUUGAAAUGAUAGCAACUCCCAUUGCAGUUGCUGCUGGUUGUCAUUCAUUAAAACAUUCUGCAAUGAUCACCGGUUGAUGCCUUUGGACUCGCAUUCUGUUCGUAAUUCAUUUAUGAUCCAUUAGGCUUCUGAUUUUGGCUCUCAGUUUGCGUGUUUGUUGCUGCUGCUGCUGCACUAAAGCACAAUCAUCCGGCUGGAGGCUGGAGGCUGGAGUAGCAGCAACGCUUGGAAAAGUGCAACACAGCCACGUUGGGCAUGGGGGAAAAAAUGAAAUCACGUCGCGCCAGUGCAACAAAUUCGAGUUAAUUGAAUUCCAGAGUAAGCAUAAUUCCAGGCCGGCUCUAAAAGCGAGCACAUGGGGCAUCAGUGGCAGCAGGGGCAGGCAUUUAAACUAAAUUUAGCCUGAAAUUGCUUCCUUUUUGCUGUCGGUUGUUGGCCAUUGCUGCUGCUGUUGCCUGACGUUUGCCACUUUGCCGACAACACAAAAUUCAAUUACAAUUGAAAGCAGCAACGGCAACAACAGCAAACGAAAUAAAAAGAAAACGAAAGUCGCGCUUGGCCAGCAAACUCGAAGCCGAUCAACCAGAGGCCCUGGUGAAACCGAAACUGAAGCCCUGACUGUGGACUGAACACUGAGGCUGUAGCCUCAGCUGGCCUCAAUCCGGUUUGUUAAUGUUUUCAGCACUUGCAAUUAUUUUAUGCCGCCGCCAUCAACGUUUAAAGUGUCGG